GAUGAACGCUGGCGGCGUGCCUAAUACAUGCAAGUCGAGCGAACAGAUGAGGAGCUUGCUCCUCUGACGUUAGCGGCGGACGGGUGAGUAACACGUGGAUAACCUACCUAUAAGACUGGGAUAACUUCGGGAAACCGGAGCUAAUACCGGAUAAUAUAUUGAACCGCAUGGUUCAAUAGUGAAAGACGGUUUUGCUGUCACUUAUCGAUGGAUCCGCGCCGCAUUAGCUAGUUGGUAAGGUAACGGCUUACCAAGGCAACGAUGCGUAGCCGACCUGAGAGGGGGAUCGCCCACAUUGGAACUGAGACACGGUCCAGACUCCUACGGGAGGCAGCAGUAGGGAAUCUUCCGCAAUGGGCGAAAGCCUGACGGAGCAACGCCGCGUGAGUGAUGAAGGUCUUCGGAUCGUAAAACUCUGUUAUUAGGGAAGAACAAAUGUGUAAGUAACUAUGCACGUCUUGACGGUACCUAAUCAGAAAGCCACGGCUAACUACGUG
rnacentral:rRNA from 1 species